UACGUAGGGUGCGAGCGUUGUCCGGAAUUACUGGGCGUAAAGAGCUCGUAGGUGGUUUGUCGCGUUGUUCGUGAAAACCGGGGGCUUAACCCUCGGCGUGCGGGCGAUACGGGCAGACGUUGAGUACUGCAGGGGAGACUGGAAUUCCUGGUGUAGCGGUGAAAUGCGCAGAUAUCAGGAAGAACACCAAUGGCGAAAGCAGCUCUCUGGGACGGUACUGACGCUGAGACGCGAAAGCGUGGGGAGCGAACAGG
rnacentral:rRNA from 1 species